GAUGAACGCUAGCGGGAGGCCUAACACAUGCAAGCCGAACGGUAUUGUUUCUUCGGAAAUGAGAGAGCGGCGUACGGGUGCGUAACACGUGUGCAACCUGCCUUUAUCUGGGGGAUAGCCUUUCGAAAGGAAGAUUAAUACUCCAUAAUAUAUUGAACGGCAUCGUUUAAUAUUGAAAGCUCCGGCGGAUAGAGAUGGGCACGCGCAAGAUUAGCUAGUUGGUGAGGUAACGGCUCACCAAGGCGAUGAUCUUUAGGGGGCCUGAGAGGGUGAUCCCCCACACUGGUACUGAGACACGGACCAGACUCCUACGGGAGGCAGCAGUGAGGAAUAUUGGUCAAUGGGUGCAAGCCUGAACCAGCCAUCCCGCGUGAAGGACGACUGCCCUAUGGGUUGUAAACUUCUUUUGUAUAGGGAUAAACCUACCCUCGUGAGGGUAGCUGAGGGUACUAUACGAAUAAGCACCGGCUAACUCCGUG
rnacentral:rRNA from 1 species